rnacentral:tRNA from 1 species
GCCCAGUUAGCUCAGAUGUUAGAGCAUCAGAUUUUUAAUCUGAGGGUCAUGGGUUCGAGCCCCAUAUCGUGCG